rnacentral:rRNA from 1 species
GAGUUUGAUCAUGGCUCAGAUUGAACGCUGGCGGCAUGCCUUACACAUGCAAGUCGAACGGCAGCAUGAUCUAGCUUGCUAGAUUGAUGGCGAGUGGCGAACGGGUGAGUAAUACAUCGGAACGUGCCCUGUAGUGGGGGAUAACUAGUCGAAAGAUUAGCUAAUGCCGCAUACGACCUGAGGGUGAAAGUGGGGGACCGCAAGGCCUCAUGCUAUAGGAGCGGCCGAUGUCUGAUUAGCUAGUUGGUGGGGUAAAGGCCCACCAAGGCGACGAUCAGUAGCUGGUCUGAGAGGACGAUCAGCCACACUGGGACUGAGACACGGCCCAGACUCCUACGGGAGGCAGCAGUGGGGAAUUUUGGACAAUGGGCGAAAGCCUGAUCCAGCAAUGCCGCGUGUGUGAAG